GGCGGCAGGCCUAACACAUGCAAGUCGAGCGCUACCUUCGGGUGGAGCGGCGGACGGGUUAGUAACGCGUGGGAACAUACCCUUUUCUACGGAAUAGCCUCGGGAAACUGAGAGUAAUACCGUAUAAGCCCUUCGGGGGAAAGAUUUAUCGGGAAAGGAUUGGCCCGCGUUAGAUUAGAUAGUUGGUGGGGUAAUGGCCUACCAAGUCUACGAUCUAUAGCUGGUUUUAGAGGAUGAUCAGCAACACUGGGACUGAGACACGGCCCAGACUCCUACGGGAGGCAGCAGUGGGGAAUCUUAGACAAUGGGCGAAAGCCUGAUCUAGCCAUGCCGCGUGAGUGAUGAAGGUCUUAGGAUCGUAAAGCUCUUUCGCUAGGGAUGAUAAUGACAGUACCUAGUAAAGAAGCCCCGGCUAACUCCGUGCCAGCAGCCGCGGUAAUACGGAGGGGGCUAGCGUUGUUCGGAAUUACUGGGCGUAAAGCGUACGUAGGCGGAUCAGAAAGUAUGGGGUGAAAUCCCAGGGCUCAACCCUGGAACUGCCUCAUAAACUCCUGGUCUUGAGUUCGAGAGAGGUGAGUGGAAUUGCGAGUGUAGAGGUGAAAUUCGUAGAUAUUCGCAGGAACACCAGUGGCGAAGGCGGCUCACUGGCUCGAUACUGACGCUGAGGUACGAAAGUGUGGGGAGCAAACAGGAUUAGAUACCCUGGUAGUCCACACCGUAAACGAUGAAUGCCAGACGUCGGGCAGUAUACUGUUCGGUGUCACACCUA
rnacentral:rRNA from 1 species